rnacentral:lncRNA from 1 species
GUACCUCAUCAAGAAGAGAUUCUAAAGAAUGUACAGCUCUAAGAACAGUGAGUUGUUGUGAAAUACAAGCUCACAGUUUGAUUAUUUUCUUACAUGUUUUCUUAAUUGUCCUUAAUUGUCAUUUCUACAGACAGAAACUCUGGAAGAGGCACCUGUUAGAUCAUGAAGUAAAAAGAGAAGUAAAGUGCGGAAGAAAUGGUGUAAGGUUAUAUGUGACCUUUUGGAGUCCUCUGGGAAGCCCUGGCUCAGAGCACGUGGAAAUAUAGGAAGACUAUCAGAUAAUAUUCAAUAAGAUGAGCCAGCCAAAAGAUUUGUCUUCUGUUCUUUCAUACAUUUACCUCGUCAUGUCACUGCCUACAUUUUAGCAAUCUCUCUGAUGAUGAAUAAGGAAACAACUUAUCUGCAGUAUCAGAAUAAAAAGGGAAGCCAAUGUAAAACA